rnacentral:misc_RNA from 1 species
GCAAACUUGGUCAUUUAGAGGAAGUAAAAGUCGUAAUAAGGUUUCUGUAGGUGAACCUAUAGAAGGAUCAUUACUGAGUGUGGGUUUUUCCAGCCCAACUUCUUACCUGUGUUGACUGUGACUCUGUUGCUUCGGCGGGGCCUGUGCCUGCCGGAGGAGGCCCCUAAACCCUGUGUGAACUGGGUGUCUGAGUGAGGGAUUGAAUCAGUAAAAACUUUCAACAAUAGAUCUCUUGGUUCUGGCAUCGAUGAAGAACGCAGC